rnacentral:rRNA from 1 species
AACGAACGCUGGCGGCAUGCCUAACACAUGCAAGUCGAACGAGAUCUUCGGGUCUAGUGGCCCACGGGUGCGUAACGCGCGGGAAUCUGCCCUUUGGUUCGGAGUAACAGUUGGAAAGGACUGCUAAUACCGGAUGAUGACGAAAGUCCAAAGAUUUAUCGGCAGAGGAUGAGCCCGCGUAGGAUUAGCUAGUUGGUGUGGUAAAGGCGCACCAAGGCGACGAUCCUUAGCUGGUCUGAGAGGAUGAUCAGCCACACUGGGACUGAGACACGGCCCAGACUCCUACGGGAGGCAGCAGUGGGGAAUAUUGGACAAUGGGCGAAAGCCUGAUCCAGCAAUGCCGCGUGAGUGAUGAAGGCCUUAGGGUUGUAAAGCUCUUUUACCCGGGAUGAUAAUGACAGUACCGGGAGAAUAAGCUCCGGCUAACUCCGUGCCAGCCGCCGCGGUAAUAC